UUUCUUUUUUGGUUUACCAAGGGGCACCUUAUCAUGGAUGACCUCAUCCUGGUCCAGCCAAGUGAGGUUCACCGGGGCUUUUUUACCCAUCCCAUUAGUUACAAAAAUAUCAUUCUCACAACUCUGCUCUAGACUACCUAUACUCUCUUUCUCUUCUAAAUUCUUUCUGACAUGUUCAAGUUCUCUUAGUACAUCAAUACAAGCAAAAUCAUUAUCAGGAAUAGCAACUACCAUAUUGGACACCCUACUAAUUAAUUCAGCAUCAGACAGAAUGGCAAAUGAAUUUUUACGAGCAUUAUGAGAGUUACCUUCCAGGUUUUUCUUGCAUGCUAGCUUCUCAGCUUUGGCCAUCACAUGUUCCUGCAUCCCCUGAACAUUACGUUUGCUGAGUUUGGGCAGAUCUUCAGGGACUAGUGGAGGAGUGAGAAUCAUAUCGUCGUCGCAAUCAGAAGGAGGGAGUUGUACCACAUAGUCUUUCGAGAUCUUCAUCUUAGGAUCCACCUCCCCUUCCAGCUCCAUGACCCGAGAGGAGUUCAUUACUACCUCUGCAUAAGAUAAAAUGGAUUGCUUAACAGGAAAUAGUCACCUGCACGUUUUGUCCUGGGGUGCCAUGCUCAAUAGGAGUAUGUCCCAUAGUAGUGUCCACAGGGACCAGCCAGCCUGAUGUAUCUUGUUGCUCUUUUUGCUCGAAUUCUUCAUGAUCUCUGACCAUGGAUUCAAUCAGCAGAGAGUUGUCGUCACUCUCUGAUGACAACGAGUCUUCAUUCUCCUGUGAAAGCAAACGACAGGUUUUGCCACCACGGAAUGAAGUACCAGGAUUUUUAGACACAGAAGCAUCUAGCUGUUCAGCAGCCAGUUCAUGAUCAGCCUAUUUGCGUUUGGGUGUUUGAUCAGAUUUGUUCACAUUGUCAUUUUGCAUAGUAGUCCCUUUGCCUUCCUCCACAGGGUUUCUCACUAAUACCUCUUCAACUCAUAAGUGAACUUGUAAAAACGUCCCCCCAACAUUCCCUCAGCCGUGGCAGGAAGUUGAUCCACAAAUCUACAGCCAAUUUUAGCUCUAACAGAGGUGGGCCGGUUCAAAGUGGACAUGUCAACUUCUAGAGUGACUGCAACCAGACCCCAACGUAAGCCACAGUUUUAUCAUUACGCUUGUUAAGUGGGAUUUUCCCAAUCCUAACCCAGGCUACCUCAAGUAGCCCCUCAACAUCCACAUCUUCAGACCAGGGAGAGAACUUAACACUCACCCCACAUUUUUUGAGCUUAAUAAAUUCUACACAGAAAGCACGAUCCACCUCCCUGGGAUUAGGCAUCCUCAUGACAAAUUUUUGUGGAGCAAAAAAUCUAGCAGAGCAGCGCCAGCCUUGCCCUACGUACACACUAAGCUCAUGUUCAAUAUCUUUAGUGGGAGCAGAGCCCUCUAUGAUAGUAACGAUAACAUUGUAAAUACGCUCUCUGGCCUGUCUUUCAAUGUUCGUGUCAGGAAUGAAAUGGAACCCUUGCCCCUUAGAUUGGAAAGCACACAUAACAGGAAGACAGUCCCACGGGAUGAACUCUUUGCAGAUGAUAUAUAGAUGCCCAUUUUUCUUGCAUCACUCACAAAUAGCUUGGGGGCAACUCACAGUAAAAUGACCGGCCAGAUGACAGAUCCGGCAAGCAUCAAGGCGAGGAGUGAUGUUACCAGUAAUAGCAGGAGGAUCACCAGAUCGAGGGGGGGCACUUUGUUGUGAGCGAUCUGGUCCGUAUUGUCGUCGUUGGUGCGAGCAGGAGCAGCAUGCGCUCCCCUGGGUGGAGGCUCUCCCCUGUGGUCAGCCACGCCAUGCUCAUAGUCCCCCCAUCGAUCUCGACGGAGGGGGUUGAGCCUGCGCUCCGCUGUCUCUUCCCACUUCUCGAAGCCCGAAUCACCGGAUCCAGACGCCUUCGUUGAGGACGACUCACCCACGCCCGUCCCCGUCUUGCGUCCACACAUUGGAGUCGCGGCCCCGUCCGCGGCCGCUGCCGCGGUUGAAACGGCCAGCCCCCCGGCCAUGGAGACCCGCACCGAAGCCUUCCCCUCUCAUCUUGGGUCUAUGGUUGGUGUGGAUUGGCUUGGGGAUUGGAGGAUGAGGUGUCGAACCAGCUACCUGCGUAAACGAUCUACAAUCUCCAUGGAUCUUCCCCUCCCACCACGAAAAAGUUUGAGGAACCCUAGAUCUGGUCUCUCGCGGCGCGUCCCAGAAAUGGGCGAGACACUCUUCAAGAUCCAAAAUGGGGGAAGGGGGCUCGGGCGCACGAUUUAUACCAGCGACGCCCGUCGAAACCCUAGGCUCGCUCGAUCCAUGGCGGUCGGAUCCCAACCCUACCACGUGGCGAGCAUCAACCGUGUGUUGAACCGGUCCACGCCCCAGCAGGCCUGCCCCAUCGGCCAGGGGCGGCGGACAUGGCCGUGCAACGCGCCGCACCACCUCCACGCUACCGUGCGCCGCAUCGACCGAGUCGUUCGCCCGAAACAAAGGAACGCGUCGGGGAUCGACCGCCGCGGCGAUCACCGAAGCCCUGUCGCGAACCCUAGCGAAGUGGCAAGGAAAGGAGACAAACCCGCCGAUGUCGAUCGAAUCCCCGACAUGAAGGUAUCUCGCAUCGAUCGUGGCGCCGUACUCGUCGAGAAGCACGAGCCGGAGCGCGUCCUUCCUGAGCCAGAUCACGCCAUCGGAUAGAGAAAUCCGUCGCGUGGUCGCCAAGUCUGUCGCGUAGAGCACCGACCACCGCUCGUCGGCGUCGCCCCCCAGGGCGGCGUCGGCCCUCACGCUCGACUCGCCCGUCUCCAUCAUCAUGCUCGUCGGCCCUCACGCUUGAUUUGUUUAUCCAUGGCCUUGGUGGCUACUAUUGUGGCGCCGAAGGCAGGUCUUCUUUAGAUUUCUUAAAAUUGGUUGAAUGGUAUUUGACAUUCUUGAUCAAAAUGACGACUCCAAAGCAAAUAUUUAGGUAGCAUGCUCGAUUGACAACAUCUGACACAUUAUGUGCGUGGACAAGUUAUGAGAACAUCAGUGAUCCUUAAUAACAUUUAUAAGCUUGACUUGCUUGAGAACGGAUGCACCUUAUAUUCUGAAAAAUGGAUUGAGUAUUCCGUAUGGGGCUCACAAGCCUGGUGACAACUAACCAACUGAUUCCACGUCAUUCUGUAAUAACGAACCCGUAAAAGCAUCUACAACCGGGCACCUCAAACCCGUCUCAAACGUCCGGACGGCGCGGUUAGUGACCAGUAAAAAAAAACCGACCAAACACCUCAAACGUCCGGGCUGACCGACACCCCUCAUAUCCAACCCAAAUAUGGGGCGGGUAUGGGGAGGUCCGGAUGCGUCCGCCACAUCGGAUUGACGACCGUGUCCCACACAGAGUCGCCUGAAAAACCAAAAAUCCGACGGGCGUCUCCUCCAGUGGGGGUAAGAACGCCACGUGUCGCUGCUCCGGCUAUUUAAGCCGGCCGGCGUCCCUAGCCCUAGCCACAACCUUUUCCUCCCUCUCAGCGCCGCCAGCCCAAGCACAUUUAUCUCCGUCUCUAGCUUCCUCUUUCCUCGCCGUCUGACAUAGCCCGGUAGAAGAAGACCACCUAUGAUAUGCAAACGCCAGAGCGCCGCUUUCAGAUCGAGGAGAAUAUCCGGGUGAGGCGUGCCGCCUGGAUCGCAACAAACCUGCCUCAGGACUUGCUGGAGCCGGAGGAGGGGGGGGGGAGGAGGAGGAGGGGGAGCAGCAGCGGGAGCCUAUGGAGGAAGCGGAUCCGAGGAGGCGGAUGCGGCAGAGUUAGAGGAUGAUUCGGCCCCAGUUGCGCGCUUCACCAUGGACGAGGCCAUGGCGGAGUUCGCGGUCGCCCAAGCGGCGGAGAUGGCGGAGCAGAUAGCCAUCCUGGAGUGCAUCCAGGAUGAGGCAUACGUGGAGUCCAACUGGCACUUCCUUCGGGAAGAACAGGCGGAGACCGACGCGCUAUUCGAUGAGGUGGGAGCGGAGAUGGUGGCGGAGGCCCAGGAGGAGACAGAGAAGGAGCCGGAGUUGCGUUUGCCGCCUAUGUACCCGAACACGGAACAGAGAUAGUUGACAUCGCCGACGACAAUGAGUAGGGUGGUCAAGCAUUAGUUGAUGUAUGUAUUACGUAAAUAUUUUCUUUGCAUGGUUUCUAUGGUUUAAGAUUUCAUAUAUGAGGUGUUUGUAUGCGGAGAGAGUUAUUUGAGGAGUGUCUGGGUAGUGCCCGUGGACAUACGGGCGCGCGCGUCUGCAGGCGUUUGUGGGCCCAAAUUUGCAAGUUGCGGCUGUAGAUACUCUAACAAUGAAAUUAAAUCCAUAGGUGUAGCAUUACUGCAAUAUGUAUCUACGUAGUAUAUACGUAGACAGGGUCGACACACAGAUCUUUGUCCCAUCAUCUUUGACGUUGACCGUGACCGUGACGUGGUGGUACUAUAAGCAGUGCAUGUAGGGUCGAUCGACAUACAGAUCUUUGUUACUUCGUCUUUGACCGUGACACGUGCAUUGUCGACCACAUGCUCAACUUGCAGAUAUAGGAACAAAACGUACACGUCUGCGAUAUUUGUAGUAUGAUGAACUCAUUUUUGUGCGUUACUCAGCCUUGCUUGUGGCACAUUCCGCAUGAUACAUAACUGUACUCCUAGCUUCGUGCUGAGACGUGAGUUAAUUAAGCACGCGCGUACGAUACAUGCAGCAAGUGAAUAAUCAACCAGCCAACACACAAUAUACGUAUAGCCUAGCGAUCAUGUCAUUAAAUAGUUGUUAGUGGCACGCACAUAUGAAGUUUAAACAAACUAGCAAGUGAUCGAUUGAUUAAUCAAGCAAGCAAUAUACGUACGACAAGCUAUGCUCUACUACUACCUCCGUAAGCAAAUAUAAGAUGAUUUAGAUCACUACUUUAGUGAUAUAAAACAUCUUAUAUUAUUUUACAGAGGGUUAGUCAAUGACAUAUAUCCCGGAGGUGUUGCAGUGGGAAAAAAAGAUGUUGCAGUGGAUGGGUCUUCUAGGUGGGGCACUGGAAGCCGGAGGGGACGUUCUUGCCGCAGUAGUUGACGAGCAGGCUGAGGUCGACGGGGACGUUGAGGUGGAUGCCCAGGAUGUUGGCCUUGAGCGCCGUGCACAGGCACACGGCUGCAUCCAGGUCCGCCAGCCCCUGGAGCAGCGAGCAGCACGUCUGCUUCGGCGUCGUCACCGGCCGCAGGUUGAUCAGCCCGCCCAGCACGUUCGCGCACGCCCCAAGCUUCAGCGCGUCAAUAGGGCAGCCACCGGUCCCUCCUCCUCCACCCUUGCCUCCACCGCCGCCGCCCCCUCCUCCUCCUCCCCCGCCCGGCGGCGGCGGGCUAGGCAGCUUGCAGCCGCAGUCGUCGGCCAAGGUGAAGAAGAGCAGGUUCAGGGCAAGCAGCGUGGCGAUCACCGCCGCUUUCGUCGCCAUAGGUUGCCUACCGAGCUGCUGUGCGUCUACUAGAGGGUUUAUUAGAGCUAGCUCGCUCUUGGCUGUGUGUGUCCAGUGCAAGGGACCUCGGCGUGCUACUUAUAGACCAAGAAGAAUGGAAGGGGUUGAAAUAGCUCCUAGCUUAGUUAGCCCAUCGAGGCCUCUUUUAGUUCAUAGGGUAGGAAAAUCAUAGGAAUAGGAAAGUUAUAGGAAAUGAGAUGACAUGUAUCUUACAUCCUAUGAGUAGGAAUAGGAAAGGAGAUGCUCUUUGAUUCACAUGAUAGCAUUUUUUCCAUUGAGUCUAGGCUAAUGUUUAUUUUCUUAUGAAAUAUGGAGGAUAGAAAGAAUUCCUUCACAAAAAUAGGAUUCCAUUCCUACAAAUCAAAUGGCUCUAAAGGAAUUUUUCAUAUAGAAAUCCUAUACUACGAAAUUCCUACAAGAUUCCUCUAAACCAAAGGAGGCCUGAUAUUUUACUCACUACACCUAUGUAAUGUAAUCGAUCAGUCUCUCCGUGUGAAGACGGCCAAGAGAUAGCUGAUCGCAACAGGUGCAUGAUGCAUGUGAGCUGGCUUUGGCAUUGGCCUUUGGGGAUAGGUGGAAGGAGACAAGGAGAUGUUUGGAAGGUUGCCGAUACAGGAUUUAAAGAAAAUUUGUAUAUGUCAAAUUAUAUAAAUGAAACAAUAUCUAGACUGUUGAUCCAAAAUCCGACUGACUCGCGGAGCGCAAAGUCGACAAUAACGUAGUUCGCUGACUUAUGCAUUCAAAUUUGGCGAAUCCCAAGCGACAUGGACAUACGUCUGCGGCUUUUGUCCAUUUCUCGUUGAGAUCACAAUACUAUUUCUUGGAGCAUCCUGUUUUAAGGUUUUGUCGCACCAAUGUACACAAUUUAUCAUCCAAAAAGAAUGUACUCCAUCCAUUCUAAAAUACUUGUCGUGCUUUUAGUUCAUAUUUGAACUAAAAGUCAAAAUAUUUUUCGGAGAUAUUAAUUUUCCUGAAGAGGCGGAUAAGAUAUUAGGUGGCUGUUUGAUACCGCCAGAAAGACAAAGAAAAAAAGGUUCUAAGGAAUCAAAAUAAAGGAAAAAUUGGGUCUAUGUUCAACGGAAAAAAAAUCUUCAAGAACUCAAAACAUGCCAAUGUGAUAAAAGAAUGGAAUCCUAGAAUUCCUGUUCAAUAACUUUUUGGGCCCUUAGGCGCUAUUGUAGCUAGUAGUAUAUCACAUUUUCUUCAUCGUACUAUUUACUAACACAUAAUAAAAUCCUGUUAAAAUUUUAGUUCAAAUUUAAACUAGAACCACGACAAGUAUUUUGGAACGGAGGACAUAGCUGUUUAAAGAUGGAAUUAACUCAUUGUAUUUUGCUCAAUUAUUUCCUCCCAAACUAAUUGACCAGGACCGGCCUGCCAGAAUCAUGUGGUGCCAGUGACUAAAAUGACACAUAGGCCAUCUAUUGAAUUUUUAUGUUACCAUGAUGUCGUAAAUCAUUUUUACCUGUGCAUUUUCUAUCUAAUAGAGAACUAGGAAAAUAAUCCCAUUAGUCUGUCUGAGGCGAGGUGCAACUCUGAAUUAGACAUGACGCGGUUGGCUAUGGCGUCACUGACAGAGCCUACGCAAAUGGUUGAUAGGCACGGGUGCAGGCGGAAGAUGCUCAACUAUCAUUGAGAAAGGCAAGGCGUAGAGGGAUGGCUGAGGUGGCAAGGAACAAUAGUUGGGGUAAAGCUCCGACGGGUAGCGAGGUUCGGGUCAACGGGACGGGGCGAUGGUCAAAGGAAGAAGAAGGUUACUCGGGCGGGAUUCACUAAAACUAAAAAGAAUGGGUUUGUCUAGGGCACAUCUAGAUGUGCUUUAGUUAUUGCACAUCUAAAUGACUCAAUCAAACUAGAAAGAAAAAGAAAAAGGACUAAUAAAAAUGCUUGCACGAAUCUUUAUGUGGACUCAAUGGCAUAGGACUUAGAUGUGCAAUACUUACGGCACAUCUAGAUGUGCUUCAGCAAAACUGAAAAAGAAUCUCAUGUGACCAGAAAUGCCUUUUGGUUCUCUGGCUACAAGGAGCUUUUUUUUUUUAAAUAAAAGAAGUAUCAAUGUUUCAAAACUCCUAAAAAAAAGAACACCGCAAUAUCAUAUGGAUGUAUACUCCAUGUGUGCAAGUUUUCAUAAACAUGCGAGCUACACAAAAAAAGUGGAAAUUGUUGGUUUUAUAGUGAUAUUUUCCCUACUUUUUUGUGUAGCUCUCAAAUCAGUGUAUUGUCUCAUGAAAUUUUACACACAUGUACUCCUAGUAUACAUCCAUAUGUCAAUGUUUGAAUUUUUCCAGGAUUUUUUGAACCUUUGAAACGUGAUUUUUUGAAUCUUUCAGAAAAAAGGCUCCAUGUAGCCCAGCAUCAGAACGCUGGACUCCUCAGUUGACUGAUGCAUAGGUGCUUCCUUUUAACCGUGGCGGAUUGUGUACUAUUAUGUCUGUUUCUAAAUAUAAAACUUUUGCGUCUUAUAUUUAAGGAUCGGAGGGUGUACUACUUGGUACUGUAAACUCUUAAUUUAUACGUUGCCGUAGAAAAACAUCUUAAUUUAUACUUGUCAUCAUGGUUCCUUACAUUCUUGACUCGAUUGAAAGAAAUUGACAGCAUUUACCAAAAGGACUAUUCCAUUCACGCGCCAAAUGUACAUGUCCUAGCAUUAGCAAAUUUAGCAUGGUCGAUUGACAACAUCAUCAAGACACGGUGCGUGCGUAGACAAUGUCUAGCAAAGAGACACAUUGCUGUUUGCCGUAGGUACGUACGUGGUGAAGAUGGAGGCAGGGUCGACACGCAGAUCUUUUCCCCGUCAUCUUUGACCGUGACACGUGCAUGCCUUGUAGAGCGCGGUCCACACAUGCUUGCAGGCAUAUGAACAAAGUGCUUGUUACCUAGCUCCUCUCUUUGGCUUGGCACUUGCAUCUGCUGGCCAAUCACCCUCAGCCAGGUGCUUAUGUUUAGCUAGCUAGCAUUUCUUUUUUGAAAUGGAGAGAUCUGAAAGAUGGUUAGGCUCUGGCUAGGAGCCUAUACGUUACGUGUCCUUUUUUUGUGCAUCACGCCGACCGGAAGAUUGAUAUGUGUAGCUAGCCUGCUUCUGCUUGUAGCACAUUUCAGAUCACAGUACAGUGUACAUAAUUGAAGCACUAAACAUAUAUACAUAUAUGUGCAUGCAAGUGGGUGAUUGAUACGUGUCGAUCCACGCACCUCGGUCCUAAUGAGACGCGACACAGAUCUCAUCGUGCGCAUGGAGUAUGCACGGAGAGAAUAAUUAACCAGAUGCUAACACGAUAGCUGAGGCAAAAUCUAGAGUGACAAAAAUAAAAUUUUCCCAAAGAAUUAACCAGUGCACAGAAUGAAUGAAUUCACAGACGCUAACAAACUGCAUGUACCACCCUAAGAAAUCAAAGGCGCACAGAAUUUUAAUCGAAUCAAUUAGCAAAUGCUAAAGAUCACACAGAGACAGUUGACAUAUGAUAUUAAUUACUUUACUACAAUUGUGGAGGAGCAACCUCUUUUUGAAGGAAAUAUAAUAGCAGCCAGCGGUACACGCAUGAGAUCAUAUGUGGCUGAGAACUGGAUCCAUGGUCCAUAGAGUACCGUAACCAGUUCGAUGACAAGCAGUACGUGGUACAAACGGUACUACCACACACACAGAGAGAAAUAUGCAAGUUUAGCAACUAGCAAGAGCGAUGAUAAAUUAUGAAGCAAAUAACGUAUACGACUAGCUAUAGAGCACUAGUCAAUGGAUGGAUUGUAGAUCAUGCGUGCGUGCAUGCACGUACGUACGUAUAGUGGAUGCCUGCAUGCAGUGGACGAUGGAUCUCUCGGGUCUUCUCUUCUAGCGGGGGCACUGGAAGCCGGAGGGGACGUUCUUGCCGCAGUAGUUGACGAGGAGGCUGAGGUCGAUGGGCACGUUGAGGUUGAUGCCCAGGAUGUUGGCCUUGAGCGCCGUGCAGAGGCACACCGCCGCCUCCAGGUCGGCGAGCCCCUGGAUUAGCGAGCAGCACGGCUGCUUCGGCGGCGUCCCCAGCUGCAGGUUGAUCAGCCCGUUGAGCACGUUGGCGCACACCCCCAGCUUCAGCGUGUCGAUGGGGCACCGCGCGCGC
rnacentral:lncRNA from 1 species